UUGUCUCAGCAACACAUAUACUAAAAUUGGAAUGAUUAAGAGAAGAUUAACAUGGCCCCUGCAUAAGGAUGACACACACGUUCGUGAAGUGCUCCACAUUUUU